UACGAAGGGGGCUAGCGUUGCUCGGAAUCACUGGGCGUAAAGCGCACGUAGGCGGAUUGCUAAGUCAGGGGUGAAAUCCUGGAGCUCAACUCCAGAACUGCCCUUGAUACUGGCGGUCUCGAGUCCGGGAGAGGUGAGUGGAACUGCGAGUGUAGAGGUGAAAUUCGUAGAUAUUCGCAAGAACACCAGUGGCGAAGGCGGCUCACUGGCCCGGUACUGACGCUGAGGCGCGACAGCGUGGGGGAGCAAACAGG
rnacentral:rRNA from 1 species